rnacentral:rRNA from 1 species
AGUAACACGUGGGUAACCUGCCUUAUAGUGGGGGAUAGCCUUUCGAAAGGAAGAUUAAUACCGCAUAAGAUUGUAGUAUCGCAUGAUAUAGCAAUUAAAGGGGCAAUCCGCUAUAAGAUGGACCCGCGUCGCAUUAGCUAGUUGGUGAGGUAAUGGCUCACCAAGGCGACGAUGCGUAGCCGACCUGAGAGGGUGAUCGGCCACAUUGGGACUGAGACACGGCCCAGACUCCUACGGGAGGCAGCAUG